AGUGGCGCACGGGUGAGUAACACGUGGGUAAUCUGCCUAGAGAUGGGGAAUAACUCCUCGAAAGAGGAGCUAAUACCGCAUAAGACCACCUACGGUAAAAGUGUGUCUCUAGAUGAGCCUGCGCACUAUUAGCUAGUUGGUGGGGUAAUGGCCUACCAAGGCAACGAUAGUUAGCUGGUCUGAGAGGAUGAUCAGCCACACUGGAACUGAGACACGGUCCAGACUCCUACGGGAGGCAGCAGUAGGGAAUAUUGCUCAAUGGGGGAAACCCUGAAGCAGCAACGCCGCGUGAGUGAUGAAGGCCUUCGGGUCGUAAAGCUCUGUUGUACGGGGCGAAUGACAGUACCGUAUAAGAAAGGACCGGCUAACUUCGUGCCAGCAGCCGCGGUAAGACGGGGGGUCCAAGCGUUGUUCGGAAUCAUUGGGCGUAAAGCGUGUGCAGGUGGUUUUGUAAGUUGGAUGUGAAAGCCCCGGGCUUA
rnacentral:rRNA from 1 species